GGGGAAUUUUGGACAAUGGGGGCAACCCUGAUCCAGCAAUGCCGCGUGAGUGAAGAAGGCCUUCGGGUUGUAAAGCUCUUUUGUCAGGGAAGAAACGGUUGUGGCUAAUAUCCAUGGCUAAUGACGGUACCUGAAGAAUAAGCACCGGCUAACUACGUGCCAGCAGCCGCGGUAAUACGUAGGGUGCAAGCGUUAAUCGGAAUUACUGGGCGUAAAGCGUGCGCAGGCGGUUUUAUAAGACAGAGGUGAAAUCCCCGGGCUCAACCUGGGAACUGCCUUUGUGACUGUAAGGCUAGAGUGUGUCAGAGGGGGGUAGAAUUCCACGUGUAGCAGUGAAAUGCGUAGAUAUGUGGAGGAAUACCGAUGGCGAAGGCAGCCCCCUGGGAUAACACUGACGCUCAUGCACGAAAGCGUGGGGAGCAAAC
rnacentral:rRNA from 1 species